UACGUAGGGGGCAAGCGUUGUCCGGAAUCAUUGGGCGUAAAGAGCGUGUAGGCGGCCCGGUAAGUCCGCCGUGAAAGUCCAGGGCUCAACCCUGGAAUGCCGGUGGAAACUGCCGGGCUGGAGUCCGGAAGAGGCGAGUGGAAUUCCUGGUGUAGCGGUGAAAUGCGCAGAUAUCAGGAGGAACACCGGUGGCGAAGGCGGCAUCCUGGACCGAUAUUGACGCUGAGGCGCGAAAGCCAGGGGAGCAAACGGG
rnacentral:rRNA from 1 species